rnacentral:lncRNA from 1 species
CCGCCCCGCCGUUCAGCCGGGACGCCAGCAGCCCCGGGGAGCCAGGCGGCGGCGCCCUGUGCCCGGGCGCGUGGGUCCGCUUGCCGCGGGCGGCCGGAGACGUGCGGGCGCCGGGGCUUCUGGGCUCCGGGCACUGCGGGGGCUGCGGGCUCGGCGCCCGGGGAAGACGGGCCAUGGGCGCGGGUGCGGGCGCCCCAGCCGGCCGCGAUCGCGGGGUUUCUGCGCCAGGAGAUGAGGGUCGGUAGAGCCCUGGAAUGGAGAUGUCCUUGACACCUGGGCAGAGGCUGCAGCUGCAGGACCCUGUGGCCACUGGAGAUAAGUAAUGGUGCCAUUUGAACACCUACUGGAAACGGGGCAGGAACAGUGAGUGACCCCAGGCGAGCACAGGCAGGUGCCAUGAGCCAGGAUGCAAGGAUGAUGCCUCCGGAGGCCCUGGCCUCCCUCCCACCUGGGCGCUAGGAGCCAUCCCGGGGCUCCAGCCACGA